rnacentral:rRNA from 1 species
CCCUUAGAUGUUCUGGGCCGCACACGCGCUACACUGAAGGAGGCAGCGGGUACUCCUGGAUCGAAAGAUUUGGGUAACCCGCGAAUCUCCUUCGUGCUAGGGAUUGAGGUUUGCAAUUAUCCUUCAUGAACGAGGAAUUCCCAGUAAGUGCAAGUCAUAAGCUUGCGCUGACUACGUCCCUGCCCUUUGUACACACCGCCCGUCGCUACUACCGAUUGAAUGAUUUAGUGAGGACUUCGGACUGGGACCGAUGCGGCUUUCGGGCUGCGUCGGUAUUCUGGAAAGAUGUCCAAACUGUAUCAUUUAGAGGAAGUAAAANUCGUAACA